rnacentral:rRNA from 1 species
AGUGAACGCUGGCGGUAGGCCUAACACAUGCAAGUCGAACGGCAGCACAGUAAGAGCUUGCUCCUACGGGUGGCGAGUGGCGGACGGGUGAGGAAUACAUCGGAAUCUACUUUUUCGUGGGGGAUAACGUAGGGAAACUUACGCUAAUACCGCAUACGACCUACGGGUGAAAGCAGGGGAUCUUCGGACCUUGCGCGGUUGAAUGAGCCGAUGUCGGAUUAGCUAGUUGGCGGGGUAAAGGCCCACCAAGGCGACGAUCCGUAGCUGGUCUGAGAGGAUGAUCAGCCACACUGGAACUGAGACACGGUCCAGACUCCUACGGGAGGCAGCAGUGGGGAAUAUUGGACAAUGGGCGCAAGCCUGAUCCAGCCAUACCGCGUGGGUGAAGAAGGCCUUCGGGUUGUAAAGCCCUUUUGUUGGGAAAGAAAAGCAGCAGGUUAAUACCCCGCUGUUCUGACGGUACCCAAAGAAUAAGCACCGGCUAACUUCGUG